rnacentral:lncRNA from 1 species
AGUUAACAGACUGCUUCUCUCGUGUAGUGCAAAUCUUGUCUGAAUUUAAUCCCCAAAACCCUUCCCCUGCAAUCCCAGUUUCUCAUGUUCCUUCUCCUACAGAAAACCAAAUUCCAAUGCAAGGGAGAUCUUGUCCUCCUAGAGAAACCUGUCCUUGUCAAACUGACCCACAGGUGCAAAAUUCAACUAGAGGCCUGUUUUCUCUAAGAGAAGUACCUGAAAUAGGACGGAAUGGGGAUGUGGUGACUUUAAGACAUAGGAUACCGUUUACUCCCCAAGAAAUAAAUGAAUUUACACGAAAUAUCCCCACAUAUGAACAAGAUCCUUUUCUAGUAACAAAAAAGAUGGGAGACAUAUUUUUUCAGUAUAAUCCGUCUUACAAAGACGUUGAGAGCUUACUACAGGCUUUUUUAAGUGAACGUGAAAAAAAUAAAAUAAUUGCUCAUGUCAACAAUACCCGGGGGCUUAAUGCAGCACAUUGGCCAUCUCAGGAUCCAGAAUGGGACUAUAACAAUCCUGAGGAUUAUCUACAACUAUACCGUUGUAGAGAGGCCAUCCUCAAGGCCAUGAAGGAAUGUGCAGACAGUACAGAUAAGUGGAUGGAACUGGAAAAAAUUAAGCAAAAGGAAGACGAAACACCCUCCAGAUUUAUGGACAGAAUUAUCGAGUUUGGGGACAGAUACUUAGAUUGGGACUUAACUAAAGAGAGUAGUUUAAGACAAGUUAGAAGAAUCUUUGUAAACAAUUCUUGCAAAGCAAUUAAAAAUUAUUUUAAAACACAAUGCCCAAGAUGGUCAGAUAUGGACCUUGAAGAAUUGCGAAAAACAGCUAUAUAUGUUUUAAAGGGAAACAAGGAAAAGGAGGAAGAAAAUAAUGAUGACAUGGAGGAAAUGAAGAAAAAAAUGAGAUGUGUAAUAGAUAGGAUAACUAAAUUAGAAAGUGGGCAUGAUAAUGAACCAACGACAAUUGCCCCUCUCCAGAAAUCCAAUUAUCAAUCCAUUACUUGCCACUUCUGUGGGAAAAAGGGCCACAAUAUGAUGGAUUGUAGAACCUUUCUUAAGAUGUUUGGAAGGAAUACACAGUUUAAUAAUAGUUUUAGAAAUAAUAACUAUAGAAAUGAUGAUAAUGGUUAUAGAAACCAGAAUUCUAGAAAUUAUAAUAAUGACUAUGGAAAUAACUAUAAUGAAUAUAGAAAUAAGAACUUUAGAAACCAGAAUUAUAGAAAUAGGAAUUGGGAAAUUAAUGACAAUGUUCCAAUUAAAGAAAAUUAUAAUGAUAAUGAACAACAACAAUAUAUGAGAAAUGGAGCUCGUCCAAAAAAUACUCGAG